AGCGAACGCUGGCGGCAGGCCUAACACAUGCAAGUCGAGCGCUCAUCUUCGGAUGGGAGCGACGCACGGGUGAGUAACACGUGGGAACCUACCUUGAAGUAUGGAAUAACUGAGGGAAACUUCAGCUAAUACCGUAUACGCCCUACGGGGGAAAGAUUUAUCGCUUCAAGACGGGCCCGCGUUGGAUUAGCUAGUUGGUGAGGUAAUGGCUCACCAAGGCGACGAUCCAUAGCUGCUUUGAGAGAAUGAUCAGCCACACUGGGACUGAGACACGGCCCAGACUCCUACGGGAGGCAGCAGUGGGGAAUAUUGGACAAUGGGCGCAAGCCUGAUCCAGCCAUGCCGCGUGAGUGAUGAAGGCCUUCGGGUUGUAAAGCUCUUUCAGAUGGGACGAUGAUGACGGUACCAUCAGAAGAAGCCCCGGCUAACUUCGUGCCAGCAGCCGCGGUAAUACGAAGGGGGCUAGCGUUGUUCGGAAUUACUGGGCGUAAAGCGCGCGUAGGCGGCUUUGUCAGUCAGGGGUGAAAUCCCGGGGCUUAACCUCGGAACUGCCUUUGAUACUGCAAGGCUUGAGUCUGUGAGAGGAUGGUGGAAUACCCAGUGUAGAGGUGAAAUUCGU
rnacentral:rRNA from 1 species